ensembl:misc_RNA Y_RNA Y RNA
GGCUGGUCCAAGUGCAGUGGUGUUUACAAAUAAUUGAUCACAACCACUUACAAAUUUCAGCAUUCCUUCUCCACUCCACCGCUUUGCUUGACUAGCCUAAA